AAAAACCGAAUUAUUAAAUUUCGAGCAUGUUUUGUUUUACACGAUGUGACAUGGUAACUAAGUUAGUUAACUUAGUUAUAGUUACAAGUUAAAUAUAAGGGAUGGAAAAAUUUGUGACUAACAAUUAACAAAUUACAAGGGUUAAAAGAGGAUAAAUAAGAAAGUGUUUUAUUUAAAGAAAUGAAGUUGUGGCAAGUAUGGAAAUAUGGUGAAUCUUGAGGGGCCAAACUUGGGCAACUUGAAAGAUGAAAUUACAUAAACUUAAAAAAAUAAAACACACACAUUAGAGAGGUGUGUGUGGGCGAUGGAUUGAGCAGGGGAGAAGACAAACCCUAAAAACCACAAAAUUCCCCAAAUUGGAAGAGAAAAAUGAAGGUUUGAUGGAUGCAUGAGCUAUAUUCCCAACCAUCUACACAAGAUAAACACAUGCAUUAGGGAUCAUGUGGAAGUGGACUCAAGCACGAAAGACUAACGGGUCAAGAGGGGACAAGGAAGCCAAUGCGAAAAUGGACGCUCAAGGAAUAGCAGAGAAGUCUCACCGCGGGUCGUAUGAUCAGAUGGAAAGCCGGAAUGUAGUACGAGAUACGAAGGAUCUUCAAGGGAUAGAGAUCAAGGACCGAGUCACAAGACAGAUUGUACGGGAACGUUGGUGUUGAAAUUUAGAAAACCCAUGUCAUGUAUUUAAUUGUAAAUGAGUCGGUUGAUGACUUCAUGUGAAAAAGUUGUGUUAAAAUGAAAUUUUAAAUAA